rnacentral:rRNA from 1 species
GACACAGGUGGUCAGGUAGAGAAUACCAAGGCGCUUGAGAGAACUCGGGUGAAGGAACUAGGCAAAAUGGUGCCGUAACUUCGGGAGAAGGCACGCUGAUAUGUAGGUGAAGCGACUUGCUCGUGGAGCUGAAAUCAGUCGAAGAUACCAGCUGGCUGCAACUGUUUAUUAAAAACACAGCACUGUGCAAACACGAAAGUGGACGUAUACGGUGUGACGCCUGCCCGGUGCCGGAAGGUUAAUUGAUGGGGUUAGCGGUAACGCGAAGCUCUUGAUCGAAGCCCCGGUAAACGGCGGCCGUAACUAUAACGGUCCUAAGGUAGCGAAAUUCCUUGUCGGGUAAGUUCCGACCUGCACGAAUGGCGUAAUGAUGGCCAGGCUGUCUCCACCCGAGACUCAGUGAAAUUGAACUCGCUGUGAAGAUGCAGUGUACCCGCGGCAAGACGGAAAGACCCCGUGAACCUUUACUAUAGCUUGACACUGAACAUUGAGCCUUGAUGUGUAGGAUAGGUGGGAGGCUUUGAAGUGUGGACGCCAGUCUGCAUGGAGCCGACCUUGAAAUACCACCCUUUAAUGUUUGAUGUUCUAACGUUGGCCCGUAAUCCGGGUUGCGGACAGUGUCUGGUGGGUAGUUUGACUGGGGCGGUCUCCUCCUAAAGAGUAACGGAGGAGCACGAAGGUUGGCUAAUCCUGGUCGGACAUCAGGAGGUUAGUGCAAUGGCAUAAGCCAGCUUGACUGCGAGCGUGACGGCGCGAGCAGGUGCGAAAGCAGGUCAUAGUGAUCCGGUGGUUCUGAAUGGAAGGGCCAUCGCUCAACGGAUAAAAGGUACUCCGGGGAUAACAGGCUGAUACCGCCCAAGAGUUCAUAUCGACGGCGGUGUUUGGCACCUCGAUGUCGGCUCAUCACAUCCUGGGGCUGAAGUAGGUCCCAAGGGUAUGGCUGUUCGCCAUUUAAAGUGGUACGCGAGCUGGGUUUAGAACGUCGUGAGACAGUUCGGUCCCUAUCUGCCGUGGGCGCUGGAGAACUGAGGGGGGCUGCUCCUAGUACGAGAGGACCGGAGUGGACGCAUCACUGGUGUUCGGGUUGUCAUGCCAAUGGCACUGCCCGGUAGCUAAAUGCGGAAGAGAUAAGUGCUGAAAGCAUCUAAGCACGAAACUUGCCCCGAGAUGAGUUCUCCCUGAGACUUAGAGUCUCCUGAAGGAACGUUGAAGACGACGACGUUGAUAGGCCGGGUGUGUAAGCGCAGCGAUGCGUUGAGCUAACCGGUACUAAUGAACCGUGAGGCUUAACCUU